UGCUGGCUCUUAGAGGGGCGGGGAAGAGCCGGGUCGCUCUCGUCAGCUGAGGAGAAUGAUUCAUAGAGGAGGGUCGGGAGAGAAGAACAGUUCUGUCUGUGGAAGCCCACUUAAAAGGCUGGACUCUUCUCCGAGGAAGGGAGAGGAAGGAGAGAAAGUAGGACCUCGGGUCUGACCCCGCCUCUGGCCGUUCGCCAGGCCUCUACCGAGUCCUGGGCCUUGUCGGGGGUGGCCGCGAGGCGCCGGUUGCUGGGGGACCCGUGACGUCGCGGGGUGAAAGUUGAGGGGCGGUGACGUCGGGCCUGCCCGGGCGGAGGCUGGCGGGUUGGAGGCAGAGGGAGGGAGGGAAGGAGGGAAGGAAGGAAGCUGGGAAGCAGCGAGCGAGCGGGGGCGCGAGGCGUUUACCUGGAGGCAGCGGCUUGGGCGCGCACAGCGGCCGCGGCUCCCCCGCACCUGCGGCCAUGGAUGAGGAGCGCGCCCUCUACAUCGUCCGGGCCGGCGAGGCGGGGGCUAUCGAACGGGUCCUGAGGGAUUACAGCGAUAAGCAUAGGGCUACUUUCAAAUUUGAAUCAACAGAUGAAGAUAAAAGAAAGAAACUCUGUGAAGGCAUAUUUAAAGUCCUUUUAAAGGACAUCCCAACAACAUGUCAAGUGUCCUGCCUGGAAGUUCUCCGCAUUCUCUCCAGAGACAAAAAGGUUUUAGUUCCUGUAACAACCAAGGAAAAUAUGCAGAUACUACUGCGACUAGCCAAGCUAAAUGAGUCGGAUGAUUCUUUGGAGAAGGUGUCAGAGUUCCCAGUUAUUGUGGAGUCAUUAAAAUGUCUGUGUAACAUAGUGUUCAACAGUCAAAUGGCACAGCAGCUCAGCCUGGAACUUAACCUUGCUGCAAAGCUCUGUAACCUCCUGAGAAAGUGCAAGGACCGAAAGUUUAUCAAUGACAUUAAGUGCUUUGACUUGCGCUUGCUCUUCCUCUUGUCACUUUUGCACACCGACAUCAGGUCACAAUUGCGCUAUGAGCUCCAGGGACUGCCGCUGCUAACCCAGAUCUUGGAAAGUGCCUUUAGCAUCAAGUGGACCGAUGAAUAUGAGUCGGCCAUAGACCAUAAUGGACCUCCUCUCUCACCUCAGGAGACAGACUGUGCCAUUGAGGCCCUGAAAGCUCUCUUCAAUGUGACGGUAGACAGUUGGAAGGUGCAUAAAGAGAGUGAUUCUCAUCAGUUUCGUGUCAUGGCAGCUGUCCUUCGUCAUUGUUUACUAAUCGUAGGUCCAACUGAAGAUAAAACAGAAGAGCUACACAGCAAUGCGGUCAACCUUUUAAGCAAUGUUCCAGUCUCUUGUUUGGAUGUUCUCAUUUGUCCAUUAACCCAUGAAGAAACAGCCCAAGAGGCAACGACUCUAGAUGAACUGCCCAGUGAUAAAACAGCUGAGAAAGAAACAGUUUUGAAAAACAGUACCAUGGUAUACAAUGGCAUGAAUAUGGAAGCCAUUCAUGUUUUACUCAAUUUUAUGGAGAAGAGAAUAGACAAGGGAAGCAGCUAUAGAGAGGGUCUAACUCCAGUUCUCAGCUUAUUAACAGAAUGUUCUCGAGCCCAUCGAAACAUCAGAAAAUUUCUCAAAGAUCAGGUUUUACCACCAUUGAGGGAUGUGACAAACCGACCUGAAGUUGGCUCAACUGUGAGAAAUAAGCUGGUGCGCCUCAUGACUCAUGUUGACCUUGGAGUCAAGCAAAUUGCUGCUGAAUUCCUUUUUGUCCUUUGCAAAGAGAGAGUGGAUAGUCUGCUGAAAUACACUGGCUAUGGGAAUGCUGCAGGACUGUUGGCGGCCAGGGGCCUCUUGGCUGGAGGAAGAGGAGAUAAUUGGUACUCAGAGGACGAGGAUACAGACACUGAAGAAUACAAAAAUGCAAAACCAAACAUUAAUCUUAUCACUGGUCAUUUAGAGGAACCAAUGCCAAACCCCAUAGAUGAAAUGACAGAAGAACAAAAAGAAUAUGAAGCCAUGAAACUUGUCAACAUGCUUGAUAAACUUUCCAGGAGAGCAAAUGUGAAGGACCUGCACCAGGAUGAUGGUUAGCAACAGUGGCCCGUGCCAAAGCACUUACCAAAGUGAUGACUAAGGUUGGUCAUGCCAAGUACUGUUACUGAGCCUGGUGUAGGGUACAGAUGUUCUUUACCACCCAAACCGUAAAACCAUCAAUGCAAAAAUUAAAAUUACCUUUCCAUUUCACCUCCAUUGUGGACACAGCCACUGUCUCAAGUUGCUCACCAUCCUAGCAGCCUUAUCUCAGUUAGAUUUCCAAGGGCACUGGAGAGAUUAGUGCCCAAAGCUUUUCUUCCUAUGGAAUACCACUGACAGUAUUCCAAGUGAUUUUUGUUUUUUUGUUUGUUUUUAGUGUAAGAAUUGUAUUUGUGACAGAUGUAGGUAAGGGGAUUGAGAGUGGACCUGGAGGUAUUAAGAGUUUGAGAAUAAUCUGAACUCUAUAAAUUCCAUCCUGUCUAGCUAGUACAGUGCCUUGUACCUUGUGGUUUCCCCAGUUUGUGAUGAUGAAAUAAUGAACACAGCUGAUCCCCAAAAUGAUUAAAUUUCUGCUCAAUAAAGUAGCCUACAUGUUUUAAAGCCUUUAAAGUAUACUUUUGACAAUUUCCUUUCUUGGCCCGUGUCAUUAAAGUCAGGUCUGGAAAAGAAUUCUGUAAGGUACUUUGGCCCAUGACUGGCCCUUUAGUUUCUACAAGUUAAAUAUUAGGGUACAUAAUUCCUUUAAUAUAGAAUAAUUAUGAUAUUUAUCAAACAUAAGCAUUAAGGCUUUAGGCAUGAGAUUAGAGAAAGCUGUAGUUGACAUUUUUAAUGUGAGAACAGAGGUAGAACAGAGGAUGAAAUCUGCCUGCCUCUCCACCUCCUCUUUGCUUUUCUGAAUUGGGAAAAAAUAAUUCCCUGCAACUUAAGUGGGAGAUUAGAAUGGGGAUUGCAUGUAGUUAAGCAAGUCCAGUGUGCCUAAUACAAUUGCAUUCACCUUAGCUACAGCACACAGCUCACAUACAAUAAUGAAGCCUUCUCUCUACAAAAGGGGAGAGAGGACUGAUUGGCUUAAGGCUAAACUAACCAAGGGAAAUAAUAUUUCAAGUUUCAGUUUUGUUUUGACUUUUCUCAUUACCUUUAGUUUCUUAAUUAAAACUAGGACUGAUUAAUCUUCUACCCUACCCUUAUCCCAUCACUGUUUAAUAAGGUACAUAACCUUUUUGCUUAUAUAUUCUGUCAAAAUCUUCUAAAAUUUACAUUUAUUAAUUGUUUUCCAUCUCUUCCUUUUCUUAUCUACUCCUUAUCAGCCAGCCAUUGUGUAGUAUUUGGCACAUGGCUUUUUUAAUAAAUGCAUAUACUAAAUAGAGGAAUAAUUCCCCUUUAAUCCAAAGAUUUUUUUUUAACUUACUGAAGCUGGGACAGUAAUUUAUGACUGGAAAGUAAUAACUACAUAAUUUUUUCCUUAAAACUAAAUUAUUCUGCUUACAAAAAUAACUGAUUAUAUCGACCUUUAUGAUGAGUUAAUCAAGAAAAUGCUUUUCAGGUACAUUUCAGAAAUAUAAUCCAAUUUUUAUAUCAAUGCAGAGCUAUUGUAGGUACAAAAGGGUAAAGAUCCUAAUUCUUAAUUAGAAAGGCCUUUAGAUCCACACUGUCCUUGGUAUGGUAACCACUAGGCAUAUAUGACUGUUGAGCACCUGAAAUAUGGGUAGUCUGAAUUGGGAUGUCCUAUAAGUGCUAAAUAUUCAGACAUUCAAAGACUCAGUACUAAAAGAGACUGUAAAAUAUGCUAAUUGUUUAACAUGGAUAUGUUGAAAUAUUUUUUAUAUAUUGAGUUAAAUUAUAUUAAAAUUAAUUUUACCUGUCUUUUCUCACUUUUUCAAUGUGGCUACUAGACAUUUAAGAUUACAUAUAUGACUUACAUUAUAUUUCUCUUAGACACUGCUGUUCUGCAUCAUUAAAAUAAAUACACUACAAAGUUGCUUGGAAGUUUAGUUAAGGGAACUUGGAUCCAGUUAAACUAAUAUACCCUUAGGGAACGUGGAUCCAGUUAAAAUAAUAUACUCUUAUUUAAAGUGGUAGGGGAGGAUGAAUUUGAGAAACUUGAUCUUGUAUAUAUUUAGUUUAUACAAGGCCCUUGCACUGGCUAGACACCUCUAAGUAGGAAGUCUUGCCACCUUUGUAUUGCCUGCUAGUAGUCAUUGUCCUUUAAUUCCGUAACAGGAAUGACUACUUUGAGCUCUUGGUUUAAGCGCUAGAUGAAAUGACUUCUGUCUAUUAGAGAAACAGCAGAUAAGAAUAAUCUCCAUUGACUAUUUGCUUUCAGUCACCCUCCUCCUUUAACUUUUAAGUCUUUCAAAUUAGGAAGACCAUGUAAGAACUUCCAUUUCUACUAUCUUAUUCAACAUUUUCAGCUGGCAUGCUGACCUCUCAUUAAUAUUUAUUUUGCUAAUUUGGGACAACAGGAUAGAAAGGUUCUAUGUAGAAAUUACUAAGAAAUAAAGAACACCUUCACUUAAGGAUAAAACUGAAUUAUAUUUUUCUAGCACUACCUCUAACCUCUUUCUGUCUUUUUAACCAUGCUCUUUAAGGUGAAGUGGAUAGCAAAUUUUUAGAAGCUUUGCAUGUGAUCUUCUAACAAAUGAGAAUAAUAAAGGACUAAUAAUUUACAUAGUGCUUUAAAGUUUAAAAAGUACUUCCAUAUAUAUUAUCUCCAUUGGUUGUUAAAACAGCCCUGUAAUUAGGGCAAAAGAUAUUUUAUUGAGAAGUAAAUGGGACCAGUGAUUAAGUGACUGAACCAAGAUCAGGCAUCUCGUUAAUGACAUUGCCAGGAUUUGGUUCUUUGUCUUCAGACUCUAGAUCUUAUGUUAUUUUGAAAAACUAAUAUAGCUUUCAAAUUUGUCAGUCUGAUCAUUUUUAAUAAGAGUCUCUAAAUUUUAAAUAAAUGCAAAGCAUAAAGACAGUUAAUAAGCAUAUUUACCUGAGAAGAAAAUUAAAAUUUGGAGGACAUCCAUUCCUGGUUUUUCAUUCCAUAGUUGAGCUUUUCUCAGAUAUCAGGUCACAUGCUAAAUAGCUUAUAUCAAAAACAAACAAAAACAGCUUCAUAUGAAGGAAACCAGUAAAACUGUUGUAAUUCUAUGUUAAUAUAAGGUCUUUUAAUUAUUUUGAAAAGAGAACGACUAUAGGUAUUCUAAUAAAUUCUUAUGUUUAAUGUGAUCACAUUAAGAAAACUUAACUUUUAAAAGGCUUCUCUAUUUAUAGGACUGUUCAGGCAAUCCCCAAAGCCUAAGUACAUGCUAUAGACAACAUGCCAUAUCCAUUUGUCUUGGGAAUUAUUUUUUUAUGUUACAUUUUACCUUCCCAGUUGUAUCCAAUCCCAAAGUACAAUGGUGAGGCUGGGGGAAGCAUCUCAGAAGUAUUUUUGAAAGAUGCAGAUUGAAGACCUCGAAUUUGCUAUGGAAAAGCCACCACACUUCUCCUAACUACUGGGUUAGUAGCUUAGUGAAAGAUCAGUAAAACCAAUCAGGCACAAGGAAACCAUUAGAUGAAAGAUUAUACUGAAAGAUGAAGGAUGAGCAUAGGACACUCUUUCAUAGUAUGUAACUGAACAUGUUAACCAGUGCCAAAGAUUGUAUUAAUUUCUGUAAGAAAAAAGGUUAAAAACACUGAAGAAUAUCACAAAUUACUGGGAAAUCCAUUGUACUUCAGUGGAUUAUGGACUAUUCCAUUGAUGCUGAAAUCUUGAAAUAAGAUGCACUCUCAGACUUGGAAUUAUAGCAAAGAUUACAGAGCUUCUUUGGGCUAUCACAGGCUCCAUUAUAGCAGGCAUUUUUUGAAAAGCUCUGUUAAUUAAAAUGCUUUAUAUACUAAUUUUUCAUCCUAUCUUUCAAAUGUGAAAGGGAAUUAAAUAUGAAAUGGCUAAUUUAAAAUGUCAGGGUUCUUUUUUUUUCCAAGCCAACCUUAUAUUAAGAACAGGAAUCCCUGUGCCAAAGAAAUGGUUCCCAAUUAUCCCAUCUUGGGUUUUGUUAUACAUUGUACAGAAGUCAACAAAACAAGUAUGUAACAGAACCUGCCUAAAUAGCAGCCACCCUCAUUAAGAACAGAGAAUUAAGCAGGGGGUGAUUGAAGGAAGCAGUACCUCAUAGGUUCCCCCUUUUUCUUCUUUUCUAAUCAUAGAACAAAAUAUGUUACAUAAAAGAAUCGGAACUAUUAUGCAGUACUCAAUUAGAGGGAGGUGAAUAGGUCUCUAACAUGCUGUUUUAUCAAAAGAGCAGACUGGUGUUUGCAUGACUGUUGUUUCAUUACAGACCCUGUCAUUAAUUCCAUGUGUCAAUACUGCCCUGUAGUACACAGAGCAGACAAGAAAGAAGAGCCCUUGAAAACAAGGGAAUGAUUUUUGAGUCGUUAUCAAGCUAAGUGGCAAGCGGGAAGCUGAAACUCGUAUAGUUGAACAUUCUUGGAGGCUUAUCUCUUCCCUGGCCAGAUGCCUGAUCAGAUGAGAAGCCCGCCAUGAUACUGUCACAGUGCCUAGAAUGGGCUCUUUAUCCAGUAGACAUCACUGUUCUUUUUGAUGAUAACGAGGGCAGUCUUAACUUGUGUUAAGGCCUGUGUGUAGCAUUGAAGAGAGGAGUUGCUUAAACCAAUGGGACUAAAACCCGAUGGGACAAUAACGCCUUUGGAGGAAGCACUCAACCAGUACUCUGUCAUCGAGGAGACCAGCUCUGACACAGACUAAAAAGCAUCACGUGCUCAACUCUCAAUAUUGCUUUUAUCAGCAUCUUUUCUCUGUAGCUCCAGGGGAAUCUUUUCUCUAAAACAUUUAUGCCCUUGCUUUGGCUAGAAACACAUUAACUGGUUUACUCAUUGAGAAUCCAGCAUAUUUAAGAGGUGAUCCUGUGUUUUUGCGAUAUUGAGGCAUUCAUACAGAGCUGCAGUUAGAUGGAGUUGCAGGGGCUAGAAAUGGGAAAAAAAAAUUCCAUUCCAUCAAGAUGAAACUGAAGGACUUCACUCUAUAAAGCAGCCCUGGUUGAAUCUGGCAGUUCUGUUUGCCAAGAUUCUUAACAGAAGAUUUAGCUGUGUCCUUCUUCUCACUUGUGUGAGCUGCCCAUUCUGAAUCUCUCCAGAGAUGGAGGCAUGUGAGAAGCGGAAAGAGCUGCUAAAAAGGGGCUGAGGCAAGUGACUUGUUAAAUCAGGACCGAGUGAAUGGAAGCCAAGCAGCUGCUCCAUAAACCUAGCCCCACUCUUUACUUCAUUUCAAUUUUGUAUAAAUCUGUAGAAAUGUGCACACACGCACACACACACAGCCCCAGACCUGCAAACUGAUUACACUCAAAAAGUCUGUAUGUCUGCUGUCUAGAACUUCAGAAUACAUUUCUCCCUGUCAAGUUAUAAAUGAUGGUUUAGUUCUGAGGCAGCUACAGAUGCCUAUUUAUUCCCUAAUGUACCUGAACACUAGUACCAUAGAACUGAGCCCCCAUCUGUAUCACUGCAUGGGGAGCAUGCAUUCUGAGGUCUAACGUAGGGGUGCCGGGGAAACAUACUCCCCAACCCUGUAGAGGGAAUGGGGACCCUUGGGUACCAGGAGUUCUUUUGUAGCCUCUGCUGGGGGCAGGGGAGUCAGUAGCACCCGUUUGUACAUAUAGGUCAUUCUUAUGUCACAUGUUUUAAAUUGGGGACUGUGUGUGCUUGUGUGUGUGUUCUACCUUUCUACCAUAUGUGAUCAGUUUAAUGGCAACUUUAUUUAUUUAAAAAAGAAACACAAAUAGUUACUGUUAAACUGACUAAAGCUGUUUAUUUUUACUUUUAGAAUUGGUCAUGUGAAGAAGUAGAAAACAAAUCAUGCAAUAGACUGUGGGCCUAGUUAAUCAAUGGCUAAAGUUGAAAAGGGGUUGGUUUCCUUUUAUAUAUAUAUAUAUAUAUAUAUGUAUGUAUGUAUAUACAUAUAUAUGUAUAUGUGUGUGUAUAUAUAUAUAUAUAUAUAUACACAUAUAUAUGUACACAGACACACACAAUGUGCUUAACCACUGCCUUUUAAAACUUUAAAUUAAAUAAAACAUUGGGGUUGAUUCAAUUUAGCCAUCUGUGUGUGUUUCUUUAAAGAUACAUGGGGUAAAAAAAUACUAUUUCACAGUUCAUGCUUUUUUAAAGUGCUUUUUUUAAAGUGCUUUUACAUCUAUUAUCUCACUUACAAUAAAUAGCUUUUCUAAGGAUAAAGUACAUGGAAAAUGUUAUUUAUCCAGAAGUCACAGCUCUGGCAAAAGAACAAAUCAGGAAUUAAGUUUUAAAAGGCCUUUGAGCUGCCAAAAAAGAUGUUGGAGUUUCUUACGGUUUACUUAUAGGACAGACCCUCAAGAAUCUCACUUUUUGCCUCUUUACUAAAAUUUGCAUAUAUUUCUAACAUGUUCAGUUAUCUGACUUUCAAGCCCACAAAAAAAAAUGGCAGAGGAGGAGGCUGCUAGAUGGAAAGUGGACCUAUUGAAAGCAACAAAAAGCCAACUGAAAACCACAUAGGAAGGUGGGGAGAAUGAAAACUGCUCAAAGCAUCAUUAAGUCUGGGGCCAUUUCCCAAAGGACAUUCUAGUUGACCCAGGAAGUGUAUGUACAACAAUAUGGCCCAUAAACUAAUUAUCAUACUAAUGACCUGUGUUUCUUUUUUUAAAAUAAGUUAAAUCCAGAAUAGUCUAUAAAAGGCUAGGAAAAAAAUAAUACAUUUUAGGAUUUUCAUCCAAAACAGAGUAGAAGUUAUGGGUGACCCAGGUUUUAAUAGUAAAAUGAAAGUUGGCAAUUCAUAAUUUUAAAUUGAGUGAAAAAAAGUUUAGAAAAAGAAUUUAAGUAUUUUUGUUAUUUUAUUCUACAAAUGCAUUUUUAAAGUAUUUUUAUAAUUUCUGCAAUCAAAUAGCUUUGGCAUGAGCAUUGGCUUACCUAAAUGAAGACAUGUUUAAUGAAAUACCACCUUGCCAGCUUUAUGCAGAGUUAGUGUUUGAAUAGUCCUGUUUAAGUAGCUGUGUUCUUCUGCUUUCAGUGAGUUCUGUUAAAGUUUUGAGCUGCCCCAUGCUGGACACUAAGCUUUGUUUUGAAGAGAGAAUUGGCACAUGGAAAGAGACUCAACAUUUGUUGAGGGCCUGCUCUGUGCUGGGCUUUUUAUGUAUCUUAUCUCAUGUAACCCCAUCACAUCCCAUGUUAGAGAUCAUCUCUGAAAAGCAAAGUAGGUUACCCAACGUCACACAGCACCUAAGAGCCUAAUUCUGGCCGGCCUGACCCCCCAGCACCUCUCCUUCCCCUUCGCCACAGUGGGUCCAUGUUGUGCCUCCUUAUGACUCUGGAAUGCUGGGAGAGUGGAGGUUCUCGGGCCAUUUUAAGCAAUAACUAUUUCAGCAAAACUGGUUUAAAGAAGUUAUUAAGCAGGGAGGUGACCUGAAAUUGAAGUGUGACUAGGAAACUUGCUCAGUUAAUACUGAAUUUCAAAUAGGGACUUGGAAUCCUUUAGGUCAAAGAUUAGGGCGGCAGGCUUCUGCCCACCCAGCCCCCAACAUCUGCUUGGCUCAGUGGCCUGCAGUGAGGAUGCUGAGAAUGCAGUGGCCAGCCACGCCCGUAGGCCCCGUGUUCACAUCUCUCCCAACCUUCAAAAUGGUACGGAGGAAUGGGUCCUAAAAUAAGGCACUUGAGCUGCUGGUUUAGAGGAAUGGUCAACAAACACUUGAGGCCCUUUCACACACCCAGUGGUCCUGGGAGAUUAAGAAAUGAGGACAGACGCAGAGGCAGUACAAGUACUCAACACCUUCUUACUACCAUCAGUACUGCCACCUCCCAGGACCUAGGUAUCACUUAUAUUGACUUCCUCCCCCACGAUUAUAAAAGUAAUAUAUGUUCAUUGUGGAAAGUUUGGAAUAUACAGAAAAUAAUAAAGUUAAUAAUUCACCCCAAAACCUACCACCUAAGAUAAUCUAUGUUUUGGUGUAUUUCCAUCUUGUAUUUUUUCUAUGCAUAUAUAAUUUAUUUUACUACAAGAUUGGGAUCAUGCUGUAUUUACAGAUUUGUAUCCUGCUUCUUUAACAUAUUGUAAGCAUUUUCCCAUGUCAAUAAAUAUUCUUCAAAAGUUAA